GAUUUUGACCCGCGCUUUCAAAGCGCGGGAUUGUAUCGUUUGAAAUAUUUUAUUUUAUAAAAGUUAAAUUUUAUAACAUAUAUUUUUCUGAAAAAAUUACAUAUGAUAAGAUUUUUUUUUGUAUAUGUGUAGUAGUUGUUUUAUAUGUUUAGGAUGAUAAUUCUAAAGAUAUAAAGGUAAUAUAAUAUAUAAUCUAAUGCUAAUUUAUAAUAUAUAUAUAUAUAUAAUUGAGUCGGUUUUAAAGUGAAUAUAAUCUAUUCCAACUUGUGAUUUAUAUUCUAGAAUGACUUAUAUGUUUAUAUUUAUUAAUUGUAAAUUUGACAUUUUAAUAUAAUAUCAAAGGCAAUGUAUAAUAUUUUGAUAAACUCAUAAUCUAAAAUAUUGAAAUAAUUAAGGCAAAACCCAUAUACUUAAAGAUAGUUUAAUAGAUAUUAACGAAACCCAACAAAUUUGCAAAUAGAAUGGGCCACCAAAAAAAUGGUUCAUCUCAUUUGUAACCCAACAAAACUGAACAUAUAUCUUUGGUCUUUUAGACGGCUCAGAUUAAAAAAAAAAAAAACAGUAAAGGCAAGAAAAAAAAAGACAGAGAUCUAGAACGGUCUCUUAAUCGACAAAGGAUGAGAUGAAGAGAAAUCGUUGUCGAUGUUGAAAAUCGAAGAUGUACGACUCAGAUUUGGUAAAGACGAUAUCAGAAACUCGUAAUUUUAAGGUGAAGGAAUAUUAGAUCUGAAAUAUUAUUAAAGAGAACAGACGAACACCAUCACUUUUCACCUCUUAGAUCUGAAGAAACCAGGAACAUAAGAUAUCGUUUACCGCUUUGAGAGGGACAACACGAUAAAUCUAAGCCUGAAAGAAGCUCAGGCUAAAACGCUAGCGCUUUGACCAAAUCUGAAAAUAGUAUGCUGAGGAAGGAGAUGAGGACAAAACCUUAAAUUCAUGUGCAGAUGUUUCAGUGGCUUCCUUAGUGCCAGAAUUCACAUAAAAGACAUUGGACACAGACAUAAGCAAGGCAUUAAUAAUUUCCAGAUAGGUAUUGAUUUAAUUUAGUAAAGAUAUUCAUAAAAGAUAGUGGGAAAGUAUAGAUUAUAUUGAGUUAUAUUAUUAAUGAAUACAGUGCAUGUGCAGGUCUUGCAAUAUAAUCGUUUGAGCCAUUAUUCAGUUGGAAACAGGUCUAACAUGGAAAUUCCAGAUUUUGCGCCAGAAGCCUCCCUUUACUCUCAAUGGCAUAGGGUUUGCCAGAAAAAAGAAGAUGAUUUUGGUGGGGUUUCAAUGGUAUAGGGUGUUUUAUCAUGAAGAUAAUUUUGAUGGGCUGAACAUUCAUUCAUGUUUGGAUUUAAAAAAAAGCCUAGAAUUAAUCAUAGAUGGGCUUAAAAACGAUUUGAAUAUGUUUAAAAAAUCGAAGGAUUGCGAUUGGUUUAAAAAUAGCUGUCGACAUUUAAGUUUUAAAAAAGGAAAAAAAGGCAAUGGCAGAGACUUGUAAAUAACUUGAAAAGGCAGGGGUAGAAUCUUAAUAGGUAUUCUGCUUUAAUAGUAUAGAUAGAUGAAUCAUCCCUCUCUCCUCCCAAACUCAUUUUAGACUUCUCUCUCUCUUCAGUUUUUUUUUGUUCAUCUUCAUUAUUUUCCUAUCUAAAGUUUUCAUCUCUGUGUGAGAAUACAAUGAGAAUAGAUCAGAUGAUGAGAUAAUAACUGCAACAGUAUGAUCUUCAUGAUUCUUAGUAUUUAAGUCUCUGAUGUUCAGUAUUUUUUUUAAUACAUUGUUAUCUUCGUUUUCAAAAUUUGUAUUGGUUUUGGUUUUUGAGGAUAAGAGAAAGAAGAGAUAUGAUGAGCAACUAAAUUGGUCCGUGUUUCAGAUUAACCGUGACCGAAAACUUUCUUAACCAAACUCUGAUCUCUAGCUAACAUCUUCCUUUUAAACAAUAAUUUGAUUUUAUUUAUUUAUCUUGCUUGGUUCCUGCGGUGAUGAUUUUAUGAAAUAUUCACAUGUCAGACUUCAGAGAUUCUUGACGAAUCAGUGAGAAUGUAUUCAUAUUUCUGAGCAGAAGACUAGUUUUUUCCAAGCCUCAUAGAAAGUUUUCAACCGUUGAAGAAAUUGGACAAGAACAAAUACGACUUAAUCACUUUAAGAACAUGAUUAUUGCCGCGCAGAAAGAAGAAACAAAACUUAAUAUUGCUGAGUUGUAUCAUCGUGGAAGUUAUACAUUAUCGAAUACAUAAUUGCUUGAAGUACGAGCUAAUCACUUUGAGAACGUGACAAUUGCUUUUGUUUGCCUUUUAUGUUAAAUUAUAAUGAGUCAACAAAGAUCUACAAUAGUCUCCAAAGAUGAUCAAGAGCCCGUUUGUUAAGAGUCUAAGACCGUAGCGGAACAACUAAAGAAUACCCUAUGGACUGUUGUGGUCGUUUAUGGAUCCAAAAUGUUGUCCUGUCUUCAAAAUAUGAUGGUAUAAUUUGGGGUUCCAAAUAUUUCUUGAAUAACAAGGCACCUCCGUGUAUUACGUUUUAACAGGGUUUAAUUGUUACGAAACUCAAACUA